rnacentral:lncRNA from 1 species
AAUUUAGAUGGGAAUUCAAUUAAAGUAUGCAUAAAAUUUUUCUGUAUGUGUUCAGUACUAGCUGCUGUUUGCACAAAUUGUUUCGAAUAUCAAUAUCAAAUCAAUUUCCGAAUAUAUCAUAAAUGAAAGGAUAAAAAGUGGAUGUUUUUCAUAUGAAAGUGUAUGUAACAUAUCAAUAUGAGUUGCUUCCCUUAGCCACAGAGAAAUGUUAUUUUGAUACAUGUAUAUUGUCUUUUUUUUUUAUUGUUAUGUUGCAUUUUUCUGUCAUCAUCUGUGUAUAAUGUUUAAAAUCAAAUUAGUGAUAUAGAAAAUAGCCCAGGAA